AUACGCUCCACGACGCCACUGGCGCCGUCGCCGGCGUGAACGGGAGAACGGAGAAUUGGACCGCGGGAUGCGCGCGACAAUUCGUAUUUCAAUCGCGCGCGCGCGCUACUGUGUGCAACGUGUUCCGUGCCGCAAGCCAGCACCUGGAAGCACUCUGUCGUGGAGUCCUGUUUGUCCCCCGAUAGCUCGCAUCCAGGUAACGAUGCGACGAAGUUACAAUGAGGAUUCGAUUAAUAUUUCGUCGAUACUGUGGUCCACUAUAUCGUAUAGGUAGGCAGUAAAAUUAAUAAUUAACACACACACACACACACACAUAUAUAUAUAUAUAUAUAUAUAUAUAUAUAUAUAUAUAUAUAUAUAUAUGUUAUGCGUAACAAUUACAUUAUUGAGUAGGAAAUUAUAACAUUAAUGUUAUUGUUACUCAAUGGGAAGUUCCUUGAUUUAUUUUAAAGAGCGGUCCGGAUUGUUAAUUAUAUCUAAGACAGAAAUCGCAAUAUAAAAACCAGUCGCACUUAAUCUAAUCUAACCUAACGUAAUGUAACAACGUAAGGUAUUAAUGAACAAGUGUAUCGAAAGUAAGCUUUAUUAAAUAAUAUGCAAUACGCUAAAUUCGGUGUUAAAAUCGUAAUUAAGUCGUAGUUGAACAAGAAAUACCGUCUUUACACGCCAGUAACUUAUUAAGAAUCCGCAGAGAUUUUCCGGUUUAACGAUAAAUGCAAAAUCUUGAACAUUUAUAUCGAAUAUACGUUAAGCUAUUCCACAAUAUUCUUUCUCUCUAGGAAUUUCCUGUGUUUUUGUCGUUGUUCAUUAUCGUAUUUCAAGGACCUUUCUCGUUACCACGAUUGUACUGCAGAUAAUUAUUGCUAGGAUAAUUACAAAAUUCACAAAAUCCGGGUGGUCCAUGCGCUCCCGGCGCUCCUCUAAUACCCGGAACACCUGCGAACAAAUGGAAUUAGUACGAUAUUUCGUACAAAGUAAAGUUAUGAAUACCAUAUAGCAAAAAUUAUAUUUAAUGAAACAUUCUGUAGUUAUUCUGUAAAUUUUCAGAUGUUAAAUUUACCGGAAAAUUCAUUUAGAAUAAUUUCUUUCUUAAAAGGGAGUUAAAAUGUUCUAGAUAUUUCAAAGGAAAUUGCCUUUGCCCUUUUUAAAGGAAAGAGAAUUUCCCUUUUUUUUCAAGACAGGAUCCUUUUACCUGGUCUACCUGGUUCACCUCUGUCUCCUUGUCUCCCGGGUGAACCAACCCCGUCAUUACCAGGGGGUCCUGUUAAAAAUAAUACAAUUAUCCUAUAGCUAUCCAAAACAAAUCUCGUAAUAAUGAUAUUUAAUUAUUAACGAUGGCGUUAUUUGACCUGGCAGCCCUCUCGGACCAGGUGGUCCUUCUAUACCAAUUCCUUCUGGACCUCCAUCUCCUUUCUCUCCGCGUUCGCCAGACGGACCCUGUGGUCCUGUGGGACCCUGUGGGCCCGGUAAACCGACGAAUCCACGUUCCCCCGGCAAACCUGGCGAUCCUGGAUCACCUAAAUGAUCGUAAACGGGAUUAAUCAGAGCCAGAAUGUUUCAUACACAUACGUAGAACGAUAAAUAUACUUUGAAUCACAUAUAUAAUGAAUUGCAAAAAGAUUCAAAUACAAUGAAGUUGCGAGCUCACCAAACUAUCAAAAUUGAGAGUCAUUAUCUAUAGCCUCACACACGCUAUAAUAUAAUUAAUAAAAUUAAUAAAAUUAAGAAUAAUAAAUAAUAACAAUUAAUAAUAAUGUAAUUACUGAAUACACACGCUUACAGUAAUGAUUCUCAAUUUUAAUGAUGACCUCCCAAUUUCAUUGUGUUUUGCAAUCCACUGUACUUCCUAAAUUUCUUGGACUACAAUCUCAUUCAAAACGAACAGUAUUUUCACUGGAAGCCAUAGUAAAUAUUGUUUUUCAAUGUCGCAAGAAUGAAUGUUUCACUUAAGCUUAACCUGGAUUUUAACUCCAUAUCAGUAAAUGUUUUAGUCAGAGUUAUGACAGUUAUCAGAGUAAGUAUUUAUGACAACAGAGCACAUCAAAUUGACUCUUCAAUUUCAAAUAAAGAUAUUGAUUCGAUGAUUUAGAGUAAAGAAUUCAUUGUAUAUAAAUGAAAGAUAACUCGAAUUCAUGUGAUUCUGUGAUCACUUUACUUUUUGAGUGAAAUUUCAUUCAAAAAAAUUUAGCGAGUAUAAUAAUUGCGUUCAUGCAUUAAACUCAGCUCGUAGAAGAGAUAACCAGAGAUAUCUUUUAUUAGAACAGUUUGUCAAGGUCAAUCGUAUGAUCGUAUAAUGAAAGCGAGAUAUUGAAAAUCGAAAAGCAAAAUCAUUAUGAUGAAACGACAAGCAUGAAUCUUCACAACGGGACUGUUUCUGUUUCAAAAGAAAGGUCCGCCAGUGUAAGACACGUUGAGUGACUGAUGAAUUAAUGAAAUUACUCGACUAAUCUACUAUACGAGAGAAGCUUGCGUUAUUCCGCGAGUAGGCCAUAAUUCCAGGCAUUAUCGAUGCUCGCAGUUGAUUUCGAGCAGGUAGGUGGGUAGAUACCUGGAAUGCCCCGAUUUCCGGUUCGACCGGGACGGCCCUGUCGAGCCAAUCCCGGCAACCCGGGUAGCCCUCGUAGACCGUCUGUUAGUUCUUUCAGCCUCUCUGCGACACAUGCGGUAUACCAUUAUCUUUAUGGGCGCACGGCAGCGCGUGAGACGUUAGUCCGAACGUUGACCCGCCGACAGUGUUAAGUGUGCAUGUGUCAUUGUGCGAUAACGCGUGGAUGAUACUUCAAGCAUUUGUUUAGAUGAUUACUACGACAACGAUGCUCUCGUGGCUGUUGUUUGCCAAAACGCCUCUUCUCGCGUUAGGCUCCUAGCGUUCCGCUCUACGUCCGAGACUCGUCUAUAAACUAACAAGAAAGACCUAAAGUAGUAUAGCUGAUCUUUAUGCGAUUAAUGUCGUGCCGAGCGCGAGUGAUAAGUGCGUGGGGAUCGGUAAACCCUGACUCGGGGGUGUACCUGGGCGACCUUGGGGACCAGGUGAUCCGGGACGACCUGGACGGCCUCGGCCAGGCGGACCAGGUGGGCCUUGCAUCAGUGCUGCCAUCUCGGUCAUCCGUUCUGUGUGUAUACGGACGGUGAUGAAGAAUAGAGUCGCGGACAAGUCGCACGUAUCCCUAGACGUGCACGCGAGACGCGUCUUUCAUUAGCACGCCGCGAGAAUUCGCAGAUUCUCUCAAUGAAAUUAUUAGAUUAUUAUCUUACUAAUUGCUCAACGACAAGAUUGAAAUAACGCCGUUGCCCUACAUGUUAAUUAAAGUUAACUGAAGCUUAUAAUGUAUCCUCCGUUUCUUUCUGGAUACGAAGAUGAAGGGAAUCAGAGAGACGGUGGAACGGUUAAACUUUAAUUAACUUCAAUUAAUUUUUAGAGGGACGGUCGACGGCGAGCGAAAGAGAUCGGGCACACUGAUAAGAUCACCUCUCAGCACACUGGCACAAAUAUCUCGAAUCUCCGCUUCAUUGAUGCUACGACCGGGUGGCCCUUGAAGUCCCGGCGUACCCGUUUGACCUCUGUUCCCCGGUGGACCCUGUAAACCAGGUGCCCCAUCCUUGCCGGCCAUUCCAGGUAGUCCUAUCUGGCCUUCUGGUCCUCGUUCUCCAGGAGCUCCUCUUUCACCUGGCUAAUUGUUUAUUUCAUAAUCAUAGAAUUGGUUUAUUUCGAAUUAUCGGAACACGGCUGGAAUUACUUGCAUUCCUAAUUAAGAUAUUUACAAUUCCUGGUGCACCAGACGGGCCUCUAGGUCCGUCUAGACCUGGAUUGCCGAUACUAUCGCUGUUCAGAUAGACUGCAUUUUCGUUCUGAGCUGGGAGACCAGGAAGCCCUGGUGGUCCUGGUGGCCCAGGUAGUCCCGAUAAACCAGGUCUUCCUUCUAAUCCCGGUAUACCUGGUGCACCCGGUGAGCCAGCCGUCCCCUAAAUAUAUAAAAUAUCAAAUAGUUGCGCGUACACAAUGUUUUAGUUUCGCGAUUACCCACAGUUGGGAAGCAACGCUUUACCCGUUACAAGUUACUUUUUUUCAGUAACGACUUGACAGCGGCGUUACUGAAUAAUUAAUACUGCGAUUAGGAAAUAAUAUAGUCAGAGAAUCCUAAUAACUUUGUUAUUAGGAGAAUCCUGAUAACUAAAAUUACAUUACAUGUUUCAGUUAUCUUGUACUGAGAAAAAAAUAUCUAAAAAGUAGCAAAUAUUUAUUCGCAACAAGAUCUUGUAAGGAUAUCCUGGGGACUUAUGCGGACAUUUAGAAGUCCUCAGAAUGUUUUUAGGAUAUUCUGAGGACUUAUGCGGACAUUUAGCAAUCCUCUGGAUGUCUUUGGGACAUCUUGGAUAUCUUAUGCUAUGUGGGCUGUCACACACGCCGUUCGCAAUGCCAUCGGAUGGUCGGAUGGUAAGAGUCACAAAUGUCUAUACAUGCUAGAUCGCUAAGUUGGGGCUUUGACGUAUGAAAAGGUUGUGAUCGGCCGGAUAUUCGAUUCGGCCAUGACACCUUACAACAGAAUAUAGCCACUCCUGCUUUUUUCAGUUAUUGUAUGAGAUAUACGAAAAUAUUUGUAUUUCUUUUUCAACUGUAAUGAAAUCAAAUUUGUUACUGUCAAUAUGUAAAAAAUACUUUCAUUAAUAACAUUUAUUGUAGUAACGGACGCAGAAAAUAAUAAUAAAGCAUUAAUGUUAUUAUAGUAAAAAAUAUAGUUUUUAUUACGACAAGUUACGCAGUAUUAUAUUUGUAAGUAUAUAUAUUUAAUGUUAAUAAAGUUUUUAAUAUAUAAUUAACAUCUGUAUUAUUCACUUAUGGUUUUAAUAUACUUUUCCAUACAACUGCAGGCAUAGCAGAUGCAGGAAGAGGACUAGUAUCAAACUCAAUCGAAGUACAAGAUUCAAAAGAAAUAUUAACAUCCGCAGGAACAGGAUUAAUAGCCGGAGUAGAAAAUACAGAGAAGGCACAGCAAGAUUUUUUAAACGCACAUCGCUUGCGUUAGGUCUGUCCAUAAAAUCUGUUGCUACGAAGUGAGCACUACAGAUUAAAUAGCUUUUCUUUGGUGUAAAGUUUUUUCCGAUGACAUCGACCCACGUUUUUUAAAUAUUUGGUCGAUUCAUAGGAAAUCUGAAAUAUUUAGAAAUUUUUAUUGAAACACAACCUUCAAAUAUUACAAAACUCUCAUAUUUAUUAUAUGUAAAUACCUAUUCAGGUAUUCUUACCUGAAUAAAUGAAAAUCAUCUUUUGUAGUUGUUUUUGCAUUUCGGAAUGCAACAACUGCUCGGCAUUUUGAUGUAUUUUCACUUAUAAUUGUAAAUAUCACCACGCUAUACGCAUUAACAUGCCGAAUAUCACAUGUGCACUAUAUACACACCGUCGCCAUUUUGUAGUAAGGUAUCAUAGCUGAAUCCAGAUAUCCGAUCGGCCUCAGCUCUUUUGACGAAGUUAGCUAUCUAGUAUAGUAUAGACAUCUGUGGCAGGAGUACAUCAAGUGUACAUGAGGAGAAAUUUUGCGAUUUCAUAUUUCGAAUUAAAAUCGAUUUACAAAACACGUAAGAUAAAAGUAAAGACAGUUUUAUUAUAUAAUAUGAAUCAAUUGAACUCAAUUGGAAUCAAUUGAACUCAGAACCUCUUCAGUUCAGCCGUUAUGAUGGUAUGAUAACCUUGCCUCCGUUUAACUAAUUGCUUCGCGUAAAUAUACACCGGCUGUGUAAACCAACUCGCGGUUAGUAUGUCGCUUUGCUUGCGCGAGACACUACUGUAUUACUCUCUCGAUUAUGGGAUGGGUGAUAGCAAAUUAGAAGAAACAAGGACUUAGAAUUGGAAGAAAGAGGGACUUCAAAAUUUGAUGAAAAAAGUUAUGGAAAUUACUUGUUAUUUUUUGAGUAACGACAAUGAAUUAUUUUUCACACAAAAUGAUAAAUGAUAUUAUAAAUUAUUCAUAAAAAGUAACUCUCAAUCUCUCCCCCUUCCCUCUCCUUCGUUCUUACCGUGCUGCCCGGUAACCCGCGAGGUCCAACAGGACCUUGUUCGCCCUGUUGCCCUUU